rnacentral:rRNA from 1 species
AUUGAACGCUGGCGGCGUGCUUAACACAUGCAAGUCGAUCGGUAACAGGUGUAGCAAUACAUGCUGACGAGAGGCGGACGGGUGAGUAAUGCUUGGGAAUCUGCCUAUUAGUGGGGGACAACCCGGGGAAACUCGGGCUAAUACCGCAUACGCUCUACGGAGGAAAGCCGGGGACCGCAAGGCCUGGCGCUAAUAGAUGAGCCCAAGUCGGAUUAGCUAGUUGGUAGGGUAACGGCCUACCAAGGCGACAAUCCGUAGCUGGUCUGAGAGGACGACCAGCCACACCGGAACUGAGACACGGUCCGGACUCCUACGGGAGGCAGCAGUGGGGAAUAUUGGACAAGUGGGGGCAACCCUGAUCCAGCGACGCCGCGUGGGUGAAGAAGGCCUGCGGGUUGUAAAGCCCUUUCGGUGGGGAAGAAAAGUCUCGACUAACACGUCGGGACCUUGACCGUAACCACUAAAGAAGCACCGGCUAACUCUGUGCCAGCCGCCGCCGU